rnacentral:rRNA from 1 species
UGAGGAACAUGACUUUCGGCGGGGGAGUAGCCGGCCCAACGGCCGGGUAAUACCGCGUACGACCUCUCGGGGACAUCCCCGGUUGGUGAAAGCAGCAAUGCACCGAAAGAGUGCCUCGCGGCCUAUCAGCUAGUUGGUGGGGUAACGGCUCACCAAGGCGACGACGGGUAGCUGGUCUGAGAGGAUGGCCAGCCACAUUGGGACUGAGACACGGCCCAGACUCCUACGGGGAGGCAGC